rnacentral:rRNA from 1 species
GACGAACGCUGGCGGCGUGCUUAACACAUGCAAGUCGAACGGAAAGGCCCUGCUUUUGUGGGGUGCCCGAGUGGCGAACGGGUGAGUAACACGUGAGUAACCUGCCCUUGACUUUGGUAUAACUUCAGGAAACUGGGGCUAAUACCGUAUAGGAGCUCCUGCUGCAUUGUGGGGGUUGGAAAGUUUCGGCGUGCGGGGAUGGACUCGCGGCUUAUCAGCUUGUUGGUGGGGGAGUGGCUUACCAAGGCUUUGACGGGUAGCCGGCCUGAGAGGGUGACAGGGCACAUUGGGACUGAGAUGCGGCCCGGAGUGCUACGGGAGGCAGGAGUGGGGAAUAGUGCACGAUGGGCGGAAGCCUGAUGGAGCAACGCCGCGUGCGGGAUGACGGCCUUCGGGUUGUAAAACGCUUUCGCCUGUGACGAAGCGUGCGUGACGGUAAUGAGUAAAGAAGCACCGGCUAACUACGU